ensembl:lncRNA
CACAGUUUUCAAAACUCUACACACUUAUCCCAUGACUUUAACCACAACCUGCACAACACUGUGGAUUUACAGCACUUUGUUCAAAUGCUAACACACUGCUGUCAAAACUGUGAACCACACAUUCAAAAUGGAAUAGAUUUCAGCCUUGUGCCUUUCAAACACUGCUGAUUGCAAUUUCAGCUGAAUGGCUAAGCAGGUGUCUUGUUUUAGACUUGUUAGUGAACACACACACAUAUUACAGUAUAUAUAGGUAGAGCUCAGAAAGACUCAUUUUGGAAAUGGAACAAGGAAGAUGGGUUCGUGGAGGGAGAAGGGUGGCAGGGAGAGGGCGGAUGCGUGGAGGAAGACAAAGAAGACAAAGAGCUGUUAUUUCAGAUGAAAUAAGGGCUACACUUAUAGACCAUGUCGUGAACCAUGGUCUCUCAUUGAGAGAGGCAGGGUUGAGGGUACAACCCAAUCUGCAAAGAUCCACAGUGGCAUCUGUAAUGCGAUUUUUCCAUCAUGCAAACAGGUGAGAGUUACAUUCUUACAUUAAAUGAAAACAUUACAGGAAUCUAUUUUGUAUUGCAAUUAUAGAAUAUUUACACAGAUAUAUAUUACAGUAAGUUUGACUGUAAAAUAUAUAUUUUACAACAGGACCCAAAGGCUGCCCCCAACAGGGGGAAGAGGAAAAAUAUUUUCAGAUGCGCAGGAAAAUGCUAUUGUUGACAUGGUUGUUGUCAACAAUGCAAUAAAACUGCGGGAGAUUCAAGAUAGAGUGCUGGCUGAUAAUGAUAUAUUUGAAAAUGUUAAUUCUGUCAGCACAACAACUAUUGCUCGAGUCCAAAAGAAACACCAAGUUACAAUGAAACAGUUAUACACUGUACCGUUCGAGAGAAACAGUGAACGGGUAAAAGAGCAAAGAACCAAUAUGUCCAGAGAGUAAUGGAGGUGGAAGCACUGGAAAGACCACAUUCAUUUGUAUUUAUCGAUGAAGCUGGAUUUAACCUUGCCAAAACACGGCGCAGAGGAAGGAAUGUUAUAGGUCAAAGGGCCACUGUGGAGGUUCCAGGCCAAAGGGGGGGAAAUAUCACCAUGUAUGCUGCAAUGGCCAAUGAUGGUUUGCUUCUCAACACACCACUAAUUGGCCCAUACAACACAGAAAGGCUUAUAGCUUUCCUAGAACAGCUCUAUGCUCAGCUAGUGCCAGCAGAACAGGGGGAGCCAGUAAGAAACCCCCAAGUUUUUGUCAUAGUUUGCGAUAACGUUGCUUUUCACCACUCUGCAGCUGUCACAGAUUGGUUUGCAGCACAUCACAGAUUUAUGGUUUUGUACCUGCCUGCAUAUUCACCCUUCAACCCAAUAGAGGAGUUUUUCUCUGCCUGGAGGUGGAAAGUGUUUGGUCACCACCCACAUGACCAAAUGUCUCUUUUGGAAGCCAUGCGUGCCGGAUGUGAGGACACGAGUCCAGAGGACUGCCAGGGAUGUAUAAGGCACUCCAGAUGGUUCUUCCCCAGGUGCAUGGCAAGAGAAAACAUUAUAUGUGAUGUUGAAGAAAACCUGUGGCCUGAUGCUAGAGAGAGGCAGGAUUAGCCCCUCAAUUAUUUGUUCGAAUUACAGUAUGUACUUUUAGUUUCUACCUUUUUUUUCUCAUUACUGUAAUUCCGUAAAUUACUACAGACUAUUGAAGCAAACUGCUAAUUUUCAUUUACCUUAAAGAAUUGUUAUGUUCUAAAAGUUUUAAUAAAUCAUGUGAAAGAAUGUCACUCUUUUCUUUGAAGAAAAUAUUACUUUGUAUGAAGUCACUGAAAUUGUUCAAACUGUAAAGAUGAAAAGUUUGUAUUUUCUGUAUUGGUGUUUGAUGCUAGUGUUUUUACUCUCAGCGUGUUCUGAGUGACAGUGUGUGUUAUCUCAGUGAGGGUUGUGCAUAGUGUUUGGCUGCACUGAGCAUGUUUUGAGCCAUGUGUUAAGAGUUGUGUUGCUUGGAAUGAGUUUUGCAGGUGAUGUGAACUGUUUAGCUCAGGUGACUGUUGGUAGUGCAGACUGUAGUUAGAGUUUUGCACAUGUGACUCCAGUUGUGCCCACUGUCGUUUAGCAAUCGAAAAAAACUGUAAUAC